rnacentral:rRNA from 1 species
GCAGCAGUGGGGAAUCUUGGACAAUGGGGGCAACCCUGAUCCAGCCAUGCCGCGUGAGUGAUGAAGGCCCUAGGGUCGUAAAGCUCUUUCGCCUGUGAAGAUAAUGACGGUAGCAGGUAAAGAAACCCCGGCUAACUCCGUGCCAGCAGCCGCGGUAAUACGGAGGGGGUUAGCGUUGUUCGGAAUUACUGGGCGUAAAGCGCACGUAGGCGGAUCGGAAAGUUGGGGGUGAAAUCCCGGGGCUCAACCCCGGAACUGCCUCCAAAACUAUCGGUCUAGAGUUCGAGAGAGGUGAGUGGAAUUCCGAGUGUAGAGGUGAAAUUCGUAGAUAUUCGGAGGAACACCAGUGGCGAAGGCGGCUCACUGGCUCGAUACUGACGCUGAGGUGCGAAAGUGUGGGGAGCAAACAGGAUUAGAUACCCUGGUAGUCCACACCGUAAACGCAUGAAUGCCAGUCGUCGGGUAGCAUGCUA